UCCUUAUCUAGAGAGGCGGAGGGACUGGCCCUAUGACGCCCGGCAACCGGUGGUAACCCACAAGGUGCCAAUUCCAGCGAGACGUAGUCUCGACCGAUGAGGG
rnacentral:ncRNA from 2 species